rnacentral:rRNA from 1 species
GCGGGAGCUUGCUCCCGGCUGACGAGUGGCGGACGGGUGAGUAACGCAUAGGAAUCUGUCCAAUAGUGGGGGACAACCUGGGGAAACUCAGGCUAAUACCGCAUACGCCCUACGGGGGAAAGGCUUCGGCCGCUAAUGGAUGAGCCUAUGUCUGAUUAGCUUGUUGGUAGGGUAACGGCCUACCAAGGCAACGAUCAGUAGCUGGUCUGAGAGGACGAUCAGCCACACUGGGACUGAGACACGGCCCANACUCCUACGGGAGGCAGCAGUGGGGAAUAUUGCACAAUGGGCGAAAGCCUGAUGCAGCAAUGCCGCGUGUGUGAAGAAGGCCUGCGGGUUGUAAAGCACUUUCAGUAGGGAGGAUUAUGACGUUACCUACAGAAGAAGCACCGGCUAACUCUGUGCCAGCAGCCGCGGUAAUACAGAGGGUGCGAGCGUUAAUCGGAAUUACUGGGCGUAAAGCGCGCGUAGGCGGCCUGGUCAGUCGGAUGUGAAAGCCCCGGGCUUAACCUGGGAAUUGCAUUCGAUACUGCCAGGCUGGAGUGUAGUAGAGGGAAGCGGAAUUCCGGGUGUAGCGGUGAAAUGCGUAGAGAUCCGGAGGAACAUCAGUGGCCGAAGGCGGCUUCCUGGACUAACACUGACGCUGAGGUGCGAAAGCGUGGGG